rnacentral:rRNA from 1 species
CUAAGUACCUGGAGGAAGAGAAAGAAAAAUCGAUUUCCUGAGUAGCGGCGAGCGAAACGGAAAGAGCCCAAACCAAGAAGCUUGCUUCUUGGGGUUGUAGGACACUCUAUACGGAGUUACAAAAGAAAGUUAUAAAUGAAGCGGUCUGGAAAGGCCCGCCAAAGACGGUAACAGCCCGGUAGUUGAAAUGGCUUUCCCUCCAGAGUGGAUCCUGAGUACGGCGGAACACGUGAAAUUCCGUCGGAAUCCGGGAGGACCAUCUCCCAAGGCUAAAUACUCCCUAGUGACCGAUAGUGAACCAGUACCGUGAGGGAAAGGUGAAAAGCACCCCGGAAGGGGAGUGAAACAGUUCCUGAAACCGUGUGCCUACAAGUAGUUAGAGCCCGUUAAUGGGUGAUAGCGUGCCUUUUGUAGAAUGAACCGGCGAGUUACGAUUUGUUGCAAGGUUAAGCGGAAAAAGCGGAGCCGUAGCGAAAGCGAGUCUGAAUAGGGCGCAUAAGUAACAGGUCGUAGACCCGAAACCAGGUGAUCUACCCAUGUCCAGGAUGAAGGUAAGGUAAUACUUACUGGAGGUCCGAACCCACGCACGUUGAAAAGUGCGGGGAUGAGGUGUGGGUAGCGGAGAAAUUCCAAUCGAACUUGGAGAUAGCUGGUUCUCUCCGAAAUAGCUUUAGGGCUAGCCUCGAGGUAAAGAGUCAUGGAGGUAGAGCACUGUUUGGACUAGGGGCCCUUCUCGGGUUACCGAAUUCAGAUAAACUCCGAAUGCCAUGUACUUAUACUCGGGAGUCAGACUGCGAGUGAUAAGAUCCGUAGUCGAAAGGGAAACAGCCCAGACCACCAGUUAAGGUCCCCAAAUAUAUGUUAAGUGGAAAAGGAUGUGGGGUUGCUUAGACAACCAGGAUGUUGGCUUAGAAGCAGCCACCAUUGAAAGAGUGCGUAAUAGCUCACUGGUCGAGUGACCCCGCGCCGAAAAUGUACCGGGGCUAAACAUAUUACC